UGAAGACGGACCAAUAACUCACACAGUCUCAUCUCUCACUGCUGGAACUCAAUACACAUUCACUCUCUACUCUGUGUUUGAGAACUUCAGAAGCAGUGGAGUCAGCAUUACUGCAGUCACUGCUCCUUCAAAUGCACAAAACCUCCUGUCAUCAGGACAAAAUGAAACCAGCAUCACUCUGCAGUGGAAUAAAGUCAACAACAAUGUCAGCUUUGUUCUCCAGUUUAAUGGUACAGAGACAGACAUCAGUGUCCCAGAUGAAGACGGACCAAUAACUCACACAGUCUCAUCUCUCACUGCUGGAACUCAAUACACAUUCACUCUCUACUCUGUGUUUGAGAACAUCAGAAGCAGUGGAGUCAGCAUUACUGCAGUCACUGCUCCUCCAAAUGCUGACAGUUUC